GACGAACGCUGGCGGCGUGCUUAACACAUGCAAGUCGAACGGAAAGGCCCUGCUUUUGUGGGGUGCUCGAGUGGCGAACGGGUGAGUAACACGUGAGUAACCUGCCCUUGACUUUGGGAUAACUUCAGGAAACUGGGGCUAAUACCGGAUAGGAGCUCCUGCUGCAUGGUGGGGGUGGGAAAGUUUCGGCGGUUGGGGAUGGACUCGCGGCUUAUCAGCUUGUUGGUGGGGUAGUGGCUUACCAAGGCUUUGACGGGUAGCCGGCCUGAGAGGGUGACCGGCCACAUUGGGACUGGGAUACGGCCCAGCCUCCUACGGGAGGCAGCAGUGGGGAAUAUUGCACAAUGGGCGGAAGCCUGAUGCAGCCACGCCGCGUGCGGGAUGACGGCCUUCGGGUUGUAAACCGCUUUCGCCUGUGACGAAGCGUGAGUGACGGUAAUGGGUAAAGAAGCACCGGCUAACUACGUG
rnacentral:rRNA from 1 species